GUGUUGUAUGAGCCGAGAGAAGGUUAGCAUCUCCCUCGAUAAGGACGAGAAAGGACUCAGGUCCUUUAACAACACAUAUACGGUUAAGGCUAUGUCACUUACUUCGUGGCAUCUAACCAAAUUUUGGU